CCUACGGGUGGCAGCAGUGAGGAAUAUUGGUCAAUGGGCGCGAGCCUGAACCAGCCAAGUCGCGUGAGGGAGGACGGCCCUACGGGUUGUAAACCUCUUUUGCCGGGGAGCAACGGGCGUCACGUGUGGCGUCACUGAGAGUACCCGGAGGAAAAGCAUCGGCUAACUCCGUGCCAGCAGCCGCGGUAAUACGGAGGAUGCGAGCGUUAUCCGUAUUUAUUGGGUUAAAAGGGUGCGUAGGCGGAUCGGUAAGUCAGUGGUCAAAUUGAGGGGCUCAACCCCUUCCCGCCAUUGAAACUGGCGAUCGUGAGUGGAAGAGAAGUAUGCGGAAGGCGUGGGGUAGCGGUGAAAUGCAUAGAUAUCACGCAGAACCCCGAUUGCGAAGGCAGCAUGCCGGCUUCCGACUGACGCUGAAGCACGGAAGCGUGGGGAUCGAACAGGAUUAGAUACCCGAGUAGUC
rnacentral:rRNA from 1 species